rnacentral:rRNA from 1 species
AUAAAUGGUAUACAUGAAACUGCGAAUGGCUCAUUAAAACAGUUAUAGUUUAUUUGGUAACCAAACUUACAUGGAUAACCGUGGUAAUUCUAGAGCUAAUACAUGCUGUCAAGCCCGACUCACGAAGGGCCGUAUUUAUUAGAUAUCAGCCAAUAAGCAUCUGCUAUUGUGGUGACUCAUAGUAACUUAAUCGGAUCGCAUGGGCUUGCCCCGCGACAAACCAUUCAAGUUUCUGCCCCAUCAUGCUUUCGAUGGUAGUGUAUUGGACUACCAUGGCUUUCACGGGUAACGGAGGAUUAGGGUUCGAUUCCGGAGAGGGAGCCUGAGAAACGGCUACCACUUCCACGGAAGGCAGCAGGCGCGUAAAUUACCCAAUCCUGACUUAGGGAGGUAGUGACAAGAAAUAAUGGGUCGGGGUUUUGCCCCGGGACUGCAAUGAGACGAAUUUAGACCCCUUAUCGAGGACCAAUUGGAGGGCAAGUCUGGUGCCAGCAGCCGCGGUAAUUCCAGCUCCAAUAGCGUAUAUUAAAGUUGUUGCAGUUAAAAAGCUCGUAGUUGGAUUUCUGGUUAAAGGUUAGAGCGCACCUGUGUGAGGCUCGAGUCUUUUGCCAUCCUUCUGUUAACCUUUCAUGACAUUCAUUUGUCGGUUUGGGGCUCAGAUAUUUUACCUUGAGAAAAUUAGAGUGUUUCAGGCAGGCUUGUGCCCGGAUACAUUAGCAUGGAAUAAUAGAACAGGACUUUAGCCUCUUCUGUUGGUUUG